rnacentral:misc_RNA from 1 species
UGACGUUAUCACCAUUGAAGCUUGCAUUUCUUGGUUAGGCAAAGAAGAAGCUGUCUUCUGUGGCUAUUCAUUGGUAUAAUUCCAAACGCCUGGCACAUAAAGAACAGAAGUACUUCCUCUUGAUUUUGUAACAAAUUGGCAAAAAGCAGAAACUCCAUUUUGUUUCAACAUCCACGGCUUGAACUUUUCCUCCACAGUAGGGAC